GACAGAGGGUGCAAACGUUGUUCGGAAUUACUGGGCGUAAAGCGCGCGUAGGUGGAACGUUAAGUCCGGUCUGAAAGCCCCCGGCUCAACCGGGGAGGGUGGCUGGAAACUGGCGUUCUUGAGGGCGAGAGAGGAGGGUGGAAUUCCUGGUGUAGCGGUGAAAUGCGUAGAGAUCAGGAGGAACACCCGUGGCGAAGGCGGCCCUCUGGCUCGACCCUGACGCUGAGGCGCGAAAGCGUGGGGAGCGAACGGG
rnacentral:rRNA from 1 species